CGGACGGGUGAGUAACACGUGGAUAACCUACCUAUAAGACUGGGAUAACUUCGGGAAACCGGAGCUAAUACCGGAUAAUAUUUUGAACCGCAUGGUUCAAAAGUGAAAGACGGUCUUGCUGUCACUUAUAGAUGGAUCCGCGCUGUAUUAGCUAGUUGGUAAGGUAACGGCUUACCAAGGCAACGAUGCAUAGCCGACCUGAGAGGGUGAUCGGCCACACUGGAACUGAGACACGGUCCAGACUCCUACGGGAGGCAGCAGCC
rnacentral:rRNA from 1 species